AUGGCUCAAUUUGUGGGGCUUGUUCUCAGUAACACCGCUGCUAUAACGUGGAAGACUUGGGCGCCGCCUAAGUGCAAAUUCUUUGCGUGGUUAAUCCUGCAAAACCGUGUGUGGACUGCGGAUCGGUUGCAUCGGAGAGAGUGGCCAAAUUGUGGCCUAUGCCCCCUUUGCAAGCAGGCCUCGGAGACCGCCGCACAUCUCCUCUUUCAGUGUAGAUUCACCACUCGAGUUUGGAAUGAAGUUGUCAGCUAGCUCGGCAUGCAUGGCCAUUCGCCGAUGGCUUGGCACCAUGAAAACUCUGUCUGUGAUUGGUGGCUCCGUUCGGUGGAGGCUGGAGGCCACAUCAAAAAGGCCACCGCCUCGGUGAUGAUGCUUGUUUCUUGGGAAAUAUGGAAGGAGCAAAACGCCAGAAUCUUCAGCAACACUGCCGCCCCGACCACCAUGGUCGUUGCAAGGAUCAAAGAGGAGGCCCAGCUUUGGGCGUUGGCGGGAGCGAAACAUCUGAGUAGUCUGAUGUCGCGAGAGUAG
rnacentral:rRNA from 1 species